rnacentral:rRNA from 1 species
AUUGAACGCUGGCGGCAGGCCUAACACAUGCAAGUCGAGCGGAUGAAGGGAGCUUGCUCCUGGAUUCAGCGGCGGACGGGUGAGUAAUGCCUAGGAAUCUGCCUGGUAGUGGGGGAUAACGUCCGGAAACGGGCGCUAAUACCGCAUACGUCCUGAUGGAGAAAGUGGGGGAUCUUCGGACCUCACGCUAUCAGAUGAGCCUAGGUCGGAUUAGCUAGUUGGUGGGGUAAAGGCCUACCAAGGCGACGAUCCGUAACUGGUCUGAGAGGAUGAUCAGUCACACUGGAACUGAGACACGGUCCAGACGACUACGGGAGGCAGCAGUGGGGAAUAUUGGACAAUGGGCGAAAGCCUGAUCCAGCCAUGCCGCGUGUGUGAAGAAGGUCUUCGGAUUGUAAAGCACUUUAAGUUGGGAGGAAGGGCAGUAAGUUAAUACCUUGCUGUUUUGACGUUACCAACAGAAUAAGCACCGGCUAACUACGUG